rnacentral:rRNA from 1 species
UACUAGGAGGGCAAGCGUUAGUCCGGAAUUAUUGGGCGUAAAAGGGCGCGUAGGCGGCUUGGCAAGUGGAUGGUGAAAUCCCUCGGCUUAACCGAGGAACUGCCGUCCAAACUGCUUUGCUUGAGACCGGGAGAGGUGAGUGGAAUUCCCAGUGUAGCGGUGAAAUGCGUAGAUAUUGGGAGGAACACCAGUGGCGAAGGCGGCUCACUGGACCGGUACUGACGCUGAUGCGCGAAAGCGUGGGAGCAAACGGG